rnacentral:rRNA from 1 species
UACGGAGGAUGCAAGCGUUAUCCGGAAUGAUUGGGCGUAAAGCGUCCGCAGGCGGCUAUGUAAGUCUGCUGUUAAAGAGUGAGGCUCAACCUCAUAAAAGCAGUGGAAACUACAUGGCUAGAGUGCGUUCGGGGCAGAGGGAAUUCCUGGUGUAGCGGUGAAAUGCGUAGAUAUCGGGAGGAACACCAGUGGCGAAGGCGACUACCUGGCCUGUUCUUGACGCUGAGGCGCGAAAGCUAGGGGAGCAAACGGG